UACGUAGGGGGCAAGCGUUGUCCGGAUUUAUUGGGCGUAAAGAGCUCGUAGGCGGUUCCGUAAGUCGUGAAUUCAAAUCUCUGGGCUCAACCCAGAAUCGCUUCCGAUACUGCGGUGACUGGAGUCCGGUAGGGGAGUGUGGAAUUCCUGGUGUAGCGGUGAAAUGCGCAGAUAUCAGGAGGAACACCAACAGCGAAGGCAGCACUCUGGGCCGGUACUGACGCUGAGGAGCGAAAGCAUGGGGAGCGAACAGG
rnacentral:rRNA from 1 species